AUAAACUAAUAAUUUUUAUUAAAUGGUUAAUAAGAUAAAGCUGAAUGAUAUAUUGAAAUCUAUGGGAUCUUGAUUUAUUCAUGAUUUAAUUACAAAUACCAAUAAAUCUCAGCAUUUUAUCUCAACGGUGAACUGAGGUUGUCAACUUUUAAAAGCGAUUGAGAGUCCCGAAGAAAAACGACGUACCAGAAUUAUCGUAAUGUACUGACAAGAUGUUACGCAAGAAUUUUAAUUUCGUAAGGCUCAUCCGUAUCUCCAAGACACGGUAUGCCAGUAAUAAAAAUACUUUGCUAUGGUAUUUCCUUACGAAAGAGAAGAAGAUACUUUUAAUAUAUGUAUACAGAGGAUCACCGACGAGACGAUACGAGUGAAAGUCAUGCCAAAGGUAUAACAUAUUCUUGUAAAAAGAGAGACUAAGUUGGCCGGAUUUCUAAUAUAUAUUUAUUAUGGCACGUGUGCAUACUGUUGAUCUACCACAACUAUUAUCAAAUUCUGAGACAUUUUUUUUAACUUGAUUUAUCGAAUAAUAUUUUAUGGAAUAAUUUAACAUCAAAAAUGCCACAUUAAAUUUGAUCAAAUAUGUUUACUGAAGAUCACUGAUGGGAAGGAAAGAAAAAAAAUUAUAUUAUUAAAUAGUUUGAGUAUAUAAAUAUAUGCUAAUGUCUGGAAGAUUAGUCUGAAUGGUUCCAAGAAUAUCCUUUAAAAAGUAAUAGAGAAAAUAAAUAAAACGAUGAGGUAGAAAAGCUGCUAUACUGUUGUUAAUCGUGUUAGCAAAAGAAGAAUCAAAGUGCUUGGGAUUUGCUUUCACUUUCUCACGUGGCAAUAAAGCAGCCGAGGCCUUUUCGUCUCUCGUGGAGGAGCGUCUUCUGUUCUCGCCUGGAGGAUUGCAGGAGACUUGUCGAGAGAAAGAGUAGAACGAGUAUCGCUCAAGGCUUAGAAUAUCGAUGCUUUAAUGAUUUUAAAAAAUUGUUUCCAUGUUUAGCUGUGGAGGGCAAGAGAUUGCAUUGCAACUCUACUAUGGAUGGCCUAAUGUGAUUGAGAAUGUUGCUCUUCAAUCUUAGUGGUAUCUCGGAGUUUAUUCAAGCGGCAUUCAAAGGAUAAAGAUAUAUAAAUGACUAAAAAUGAUAGCAAUUGGAGUUAACUACGGAAAAAUAAAAGAAAAAAAAACACUAAUAUCGUGUAUUAGAAUAUUAAAUGAUAGGCGUAAUAGGUGUAUCUUAUAACA